UACGUAGGGUGCAGGCGUUAAUCGGAAUUACUGGGCGUAAAGCGUGCGCAGGCGGUCUGCUAAGAGAGAUGUGAAAUCCCCGGGCUUAACCUGGGAACUGCGUUUCUAACUGGCAGGCUAGAGUGUGGCAGAGGGGGGUGGAAUUCCAUGUGUAGCAGUGAAAUGCGUAGAGAUGUGGAGGAACACCGAUGGCGAAGGCAGCCCCCUGGGCUAACACUGACGCUCAUGCACGAAAGCGUGGGGAGCAAACAGG
rnacentral:rRNA from 1 species